UCGAGGAUCAUUCGCAAUGGGGGAAACCCUGACGAUGCGACGCUGCGUGGAGGAUGAAGGCCCUCGGGUUGUAAACUCCUGUCAUGAGGGGAGAGGCGGAGGCGGCGAACAGCCGCCCGAGUUGACGGUACCUCAAGAGGAAGCCACGGCUAACUCUGUGCCAGCAGCCGCGGUAAUACAGAGGUGGCGAGCGUUGUUCGGAUUUACUGGGCGUAAAGGGCGCGUAGGCGGCGCGGUGUGUCGGGUGUGAAAUCCAUGGGCUCAACCCAUGAAGUGCGCCCGAAACUGCCGCGCUCGAGUUCGGGAGGGGGGAUCGGAAUGCAGGGUGUAGCGGUGAAAUGCGUUGAUAUCCUGCAGAACACCGGAGGCGAAGGCGGAUCCCUGGAACGACACUGACGCUGAGGCGCGAAAGCAGGGGGAGCAAACA
rnacentral:rRNA from 1 species